AAUGUAAAUUCGAGCAAUGCGUGUGCGCUUUCAGUCCCUAGAGGAAUCCUCUCUUUCUCUGUCAUAGAACAUCUGAUAUGCAUGNCCUCAAAUCAGACUAGAGUACGCGCUGAGGCUAAGCAUAUCAAUAAGUGGAGGACAGAGACUGACAGGCAUUCCCGCAGGAGCGGCGAGUGCACAGGCAACACGUCACAUGCAAUAUCUGUCUGCUCUGUAGUCGGAGAUGUAAUACACGGGAGUCGAAGAAAAAGCAAANCGAUGUUCACAAGUCGUCUGGAAAGGGGCAUGGUAGAGUGUGAGAAGCUCGUCUAUGGUCACACCGCGCUGGCAUAAGGCACGCGUCCAUAGAGUGGAGAAGUUUGGGAUCAAACCUCCAAAUGGGUGGAAGACUCCAUCAAAGGCUUUCAAAGACGAGAGACUCACAAAGUUCAACAACCCACAGGGAAAGAUGAAGAGAACUUUGAAAAGAGAGUAAAACAGAGCCGAAAGAUCAGAAAGGGAAAGGAUGGAAAUCAGUCAUGCCGAAAAAGGAUUCAGCUUUUUUCGCGGAGUCCAAAUACACGAGCGCAUGGCAGGGAAGACUCAGGGAAUGCAGGGAAGCGCCCUCCCGGGUAAUUCAGCUUUGUUCGGGGAUCCUUAUAGCAGGGGGCCAUAGGGCAGCCCGGGUAUGAGGAUUGCUUCCUACACCUGUUCGGGGGCGAGUAGACUGAACCCAGGUUGGCCACGUUGCCAGCGGCUCCAAACACAUCAGAAGGUAUCGGCAAUCCACCCGAUCGGUCGAGCCAGCGGUUGGCGUGUACAAAGGGCAGGGAGGUAAUCAACGCCCGGUCAUGACUCGCGGACCAAGGGGUUUCACAGGUGAGGGACAAUA
rnacentral:rRNA from 1 species